GGAAGGGUGGCUGAGCUGGCUGAAAGCGCCGCUCUCGAAAAGCGGUGUGGUCGAAAGGCCAUCGAGAGUUCGAAUCUCUCCCCUUCCGCCA
rnacentral:tRNA from 1 species